AACGAACGCUGGCGGCAUGCCUAACACAUGCAAGUCGAACGAGACCUUCGGGUCUAGUGGCGCACGGGUGCGUAACGCGUGGGAACCUGCCCUUAGGUUCGGAAUAACUCCCCGAAAGGGGUGCUAAUACCGGAUAAUGUCUUCGGACCAAAGAUUUAUCGCCUUUGGAUGGGCCCGCGUUGGAUUAGCUAGUUGGUAGGGUAAAAGCCUACCAAGGCGACGAUCCAUAGCUGGUCUGAGAGGAUGAUCAGCCACACUGGGACUGAGACACGGCCCAGACUCCUACGGGAGGCAGCAGGGGGGAAUAUUGGACAAUGGGCGAAAGCCUGAUCCAGCAAUGCCGCGUGAGUGAUGAAGGCCUUAGGGUUGUAAAGCUCUUUUACCCGGGAUGAUAAUGACAGUACCGGGAGAAUAAGCUCCGGCGAACUCCGU
rnacentral:rRNA from 1 species